rnacentral:rRNA from 1 species
GACGAACCGUGCGAACGUUGUUCGGAAUCACUGGGCUUAAAGGGCGCGUAGGCGGGCAUUCAAGUCAAGGGUGAAAUCCCCCAGCUUAACUGGGGAACUGCCUUUGAUACUGGGUGCCUCGAGUAAGGUAGGGGCAUGCGGAACUGAUGGUGGAGCGGUGAAAUGUGUUGAUAUCAUCAGGAACUCCGGUGGCGAAGGCGGCAUGCUGGACCUUCACUGACGCUGAGGAGCGAAAGUGUGGGGAGCGAACAGG